GGAAUAUUGCGCAAUGGGCGAAAGCCUGACGCAGCGACGCCGCGUGGAGGAUGACGGUUUUCGGAUUGUAAACUCCUGUUAAGUGGGAAGAAAGCCUGGUCUCUAAUAUAGACCGGGGAUGACGGUACCACUAAAGAAAGCACCGGCUAACUUCGUUCUAGCAGCCGCGGUAAUACGAGGGGUGCAAACGUUAUUCGGAUUAACUGGGCGUAAAGGGUGUGUAGACGGAGCAUUAAGUUCGUUGUUAAAUCUCUCGGCUUAACCGAGAGCUUGCGAUGAAAACUAAUGUUCUUGAGGGUGAAAGAGAGAAGUGGAAUUCUCGGAGUAGCGGUAAAAUGCGUAGAUCUCGAGAGGAACACCGAUGGCGAAGGCAGCUUCUUGGUUCACUCCUGACGUUGAGACACGAAAGCGUGGGUAGCA
rnacentral:rRNA from 1 species